rnacentral:rRNA from 1 species
GAUGAACGCUGGCGGCGUGCCUAAUACAUGCAAGUCGAGCGAACAGAUGAUGAGCUUGCUCCUCUGACGUUAGCGGCGGACGUGUGUGUAACACGUGGAUACCCUACCUAUAAUACUGGUAUCACUUCGGGACUCCGGAGCUAAUACCGGAUAAUAUAUUGAUCCGCAUUGUUCAAUAGUGAAAGACGGUUUUGCUGUCUCUUAUAGAUGGAUCUGCGCCUCAUUAGCUAGUUGUUAAGGUAACGGCUUUUCAAGGCAACGAUGCGUAGACGAAGUGAGAGGGGGAUCGGCGACACGGGAACUGAGACACGGUCAAGACGACUAAGGGAGGGAGCAGAAGGGAAUCUUCCGCAGUGGGCGAAAGCAUGACGGAGCAAGGCGGAGUGAGUGAUGAAGGUCUUCGGAUCGUAAAAAUCUGUUAUGAGGGAAGAACAAAUGUGUAAGGAACUAUGCACGGAUUGACGGUACCUAAUAAGAAAGCCACGGCUAACUACGUG